rfam:Capsicum annuum cultivar Zunla-1 chromosome 3, whole genome shotgun sequence
UGUUGAUGAUGUGGGCAUUCCUUUAGAAAAGAUUUGAAACUCUCUCAUGCAUGAUAUAAGUUCUCAUUUGGCUUUUCCUUAAAAAUCAAAAUUUUACUACGUAGACU